AACGAACGCUGGCGGCAUGCCUAACACAUGCAAGUCGAACGAGACCUUCGGGUCUAGUGGCGCACGGGUGCGUAACGCGUGGGAAUCUGCCCUUCGGUUGGGAAUAACUGAGAGAAAUUUCAGCUAAUACCUUAUAAUGUCUUCGGACCAAAGAUUUAUCGCCGAGGGAUGAGCCCGCGUAGGAUUAGGUAGUUGGUGGAGUAAUGGCCUACCAAGCCGACGAUCCUUAGCUGGUCUGAGAGGAUGAUCAGCGACACUGGGACUGAGACACGGAGCAGAAUCGUACGGGAGGCAGCAGUGGGGAAUAUUGGACAGUGGGCGAAAGCGUGAUACAGCAAUGCCGCGUGAGUGAUGAAGGCCUUAGGGUUGUAAAGCUCUUUUACCCGGGAUGAUAAUGACGGUACCGGGAGAAUAAGCUCCGGCUAACUCCGUG
rnacentral:rRNA from 1 species